GUUAGGAGUAAAAGAGCAAACUGGUUAGUGUUAGUGUCAGUGUCAGUUUUAGUGCAGGAGGUUUUUGUACAGCUGUUGAUUGGGUUUGUAUCACUGUGGUGGACUUUUGGUGGAGGCACCCGACUCUCAGUUGGAACUGCGGCUCGUCCCGCUCUGACGGUGCUGCCUCCCUCCAGAGACGAGCUGCAGCAGGGUAAGGCUACAGUGCUGUGUGUGGCCAGUAAGGGAUUCCCCUCUGACUGGAAGCUGAGCUGGAAGGUGGACGGCAGCAGCAGGAGCUCUGGUGUCAAUCUGAGUCCCAGUCAGCUGCAGAAGGAUGGACUGUACAGCUGGAGCAGCAGCCUGAGCCUCACUGAGAGUGAGUGGAGCAGAGCAACAAACCGUCAGCUGUGACGCCACGCACCCGUCCCACAAAUGCAGUCACCAACAGCCUCAACACAAAGCAGUGCAAUGAUGACCAGUGAAAAACUCACACCGACACAUUGUCCUAAAUCAGCCACUGCUCAACAACUAAUCUUUCAUGCUGUUAGUAUAUUGCUCAUAUAUUUUUAUCUGUUGUAAUUCUACAACUGCAAUGCUAUGAAGGUUUUGCUGGUUAUUUUAGAUUUUACUGCUACCAAAUAAAAGCAUUUAGACUUAAA